UACAGAGGUCUCAAGCGUUGUUCGGAUUCAUUGGGCGUAAAGGGUGCGUAGGCGGCGCGGUAAGUCGGGUGUGAAAUCUCGGAGCUUAACUCCGAAACUGCAUUCGAUACUGCCGUGCUUGAGGACUGGAGAGGAGACUGGAAUUUACGGUGUAGCGGUGAAAUGCGUAGAUAUCGUAAGGAAGACCAGUGGCGAAGGCGGAUCUCUGGGCCUGUCCUGACGCUGAGGCGCGAAAGCUAGGGGAGCGAACAGG
rnacentral:rRNA from 1 species